rnacentral:misc_RNA from 1 species
AACUUGUAGCAAUGUAUCUCUUGGUUCUGGCAUCGAUUAAGAACGCAGCGAAAUGCGAUAAGUAAUGUGAAUUGCAGAAUUCAGUGAAUCAUCGAAUCUUUGAACGCACAUUGCGCCCGCCAGUAUUCUGGCGGGCAUGCCUGUCCGAGCGUCAUUUCAACCCUCGAACCCCUCCGGGGGUCCGGCGUUGGGGAUCGGCCCUUAACCGGCCGGCCCCGAAAUACAGUGGCGGCCUCGCCGCAGCCUCUCAGGAGCAGUAGUUUGCACACUCGCACCGGGAGCGCGGCGCGGCCACAGCCGUAAAACAAACCAAACUCUGAAAUGUUGACCUCGGAUCAGGUAGGAAUACCCGCUGAACUUAAGCAUAUCAAUAAGCGGAGGCU